rnacentral:rRNA from 1 species
UAUCUCUGUAGAGUCUGCAUAUCAAUAAGCGGAGGAAAAGAAACUAACUAGGAUUCCCUCAGUAACGGCGAGUAAAGCGGGAAGAGCUCAAAUUUGAAAUCUUCAAGGUUCUACCUUGACGAAUUGUAGUUUAAGAGAAGUGUUUUCUGUUGGAGUUUUGGUAAAAGUUCUUUGGAAUAGGACAUCAUAGAGGGUGAGAAUCCCGUAUUUGACCAUUACUUCCAGCUUUGUGAUACACUUUCAAAGAGUCGGAUUGUUUGGGAAUGCAGUCCAAAAUGGGUGGUAAAUUUCAUCUAAAGCUUAAUAUUGGCGAGAGACCGAUAGCGAACAAGUACCGUGAGGGAAAGAUGAAAAGAACUUUGAAAAGAGAGUUAAACAGUACGUGAAAUUGUCAAAAGGGAAGCGUUUGACACCAGUGUUGUUUUUCUCGAAAAUCAAUUAAGAAAUGGUUGAUUUUGUAUUGUUAUGACCUUUAUCAGCUUACUGUACUCUUUUCUUGUCUUUUUUUAAUGCACUUUUCGUUUAACAAGUCAACAUCAAUUUCUUUUGUUGUAAAAGAGGUCAUUGGAAGGUGGCUUUCACUUCGGUAGAAAGUGUUUAUAGCCUUUGGCUUCUGCAAUCGGAGAGAUUGAGGUCUGCAGCGUAGAUCCUUCGGGGCUAGAUACGUAGAUGCUAAGUUAUAGUUUUUUAUAGACAACUUGUUGACUAUAAUUAAUCAUGUAGCUUACUCGUUUGCGCUAUUUUACCUACGCUUAGGAUGUUGAUAGUCACAGCGUGUAC